AUAUGAAAUCCGUAACUUCCACCGAUGGAUCAUCCAAACAAAGGAGUAAAGCCAUUCUAUUUUCCUUCCUUGAAGAACAUGGUAACUUGAGAAGGGGAAAGGGGCGAUACAAUACGAGAGGUUUUAUUACUUCGCCGGAACUAGGGCAGGGGAGAAGAAGAGACAGGGAAAGGGGGAGGUAGUGGGUCUAAUUGUGGGGAUUAGUAAAUUCAAGGUGGAUCUCUUUCAA
rnacentral:lncRNA from 1 species